rnacentral:lncRNA from 1 species
CCUUGAUGCCGUAGUGAAUUUCUGGCAGAAUAGCUUCACUGGUGUCCUAAAAAUAGUUGCAGGUAUUGUCAAAGGACUAUGUCUGUAUUUCACAGGAGGUGCAAAAUACAGCGCUAGUCCACAGCUACCUGAAAGCUUAAGCACUGAAUGGACUUGUGGCCACACAACUUCAUCUGUAUACUUUGAAAGCACAUCUCUCAGAAGCAUCUGGUCCUUGAAAUGCCAGAGAAAGGGGAUGCAGAGCAAAUAGCAAGCUUUCAGCAGUUGAGGAGACUUGAAAAUUCAAGUCAAUCUCCGUCAGCAGAUUGUGGUGAUAGUGAUCAGAGGCAGCGGUGUGCGUGCUCCCUCUAGUGAGCUCUGUCCAAGAAGAUGCAGUUUUAGUUUGGCUGCUGUCUGCGGGGAGCUCCCAGUGCUUCACCCAAAGUAUUUUCUCUCCACAGGUAAAAUUCCACAGGUAACAGAGAAUGACCAUUCUCUUUUAUUCAG